rnacentral:lncRNA from 1 species
GGUUGUAGCUUUAUUGUCACGUGUGGUCUGACCACUGCUGUUUGUAUGUUCAGUCUUUCAGAACUGGUUCUGGUAGUCAGUUCAUAUUAGCAACGCUUGUUACUACCACAGUCAGAGCAGUUGCCGGUUGCUUCUCUUGUCUGUCUUCCCCUCAAGAUUUUUCAAAAAGAUAAACAAAAUUGGCAACUCUUUAGCUAGGCUAAGAAAAAUGGGAGACCUCCUAAAUAAAUAAAAUUACAGACAAUAAAGAAGACAUUACAACCAAUACUGCAGAAAUUCAAAUGAUUAUUAGAGGCUACUAAUGAUAUGUUAGAAAUAAAUUGGAAACAUGGUAUUGGCACAACAACAGACACAUAAAUCUUUUUUUUUUCUUGUCUUUUUAUAGUUCUUUUCUUGAAAUCUAUGUUUGGAACAGAAUAGAGAACCCAGAAAUAAAUCUAUUCAUCCACAGUGAACUCAUUUUCAACAAAGAUGCCAAAAAGAUAUAUCAGAGAAAGGACAGUCUCUUCAAUAAAUGGUCAAAGGGUGGUUCACAAAACUCAAUGAGAUACUCCAUGUAAAGUGCUUUGUUAUCGAAAGUACAUGAGUGUUAUAAUUAGCUUGGACGCUGGCAUUUGUAUUAUAUUAAUUAUUCUUAUUGACUGUCCAUAACUGUAGUGAAUUUACCUAGGACUGCCAUUCCCAACGGGCCUUUCUGCUUCUCUCCUUGCCCCUUCGGAAUACACUGGAUCUGGCAUCUUCGCGUUGCAACAUUAAGUCAUUGUGCCGAGAGUCCUCUCUUGGUUUCCCAUCUCUCCCAGAAUAAAAGCCAAAGUCCUUACCAGGCCCCAUGUGAUCUUUUCCCACUGGCCUCAUCGCCUUCCCGCUUCCUGUCAUUUGUCCAUUCCAGCCACAUUGACCUCCUUGAGCAUGCCGGGCAUAGUGAGGCUUCAGGGUCUGGAAUUUGCUCUUCCCUCCGCAUCUAAAGGCUCUUUGCCCAGUUAGUUGCAUGGUUGCCCAGUUAACCAUGCAGCUAAAAUGUGAGGCUACAAAAGUAGUCUGAGGACAAAUUUCAGGACAGCUUAAUAGCCAGGCUACAGAAAUGUGACGGUCUCCUAUGGGGCAGAUUUCCUCUUCAGGGAAUAUUAACACUUAUCGUGAAAAAAUGUUUUGUGGUCUAAUACCUUUGGGAAAUAUCAAGUUUUGAAAAAGAAGUUAAAAAAAAAGUUCUUUGUUGCAGGACUUCUCAGUUUCUUUACCAUGGUAACUGGCAUUUCAGAUCCCCAAAACAGAUGUGAUAUAAAGCAUUUCUCAAGCUUUCUUGUCACUGUAUUUGGAGGGAGUGAUGUUCCAAAAAAAACCAGACUUUGAGAAUGUUCCUGGUGGUAAGAAGUAAGAGCCACUGAAGAUUUCUGGAGAGAGGGGUGGUAACACCAACUAGUGUUCUGGAAGGAAUGUGGAGGAUGGAGUGAACAGGAAAAGUAAAGAAGGCCAGUAGCCCAGCAGGGAGGCCAAUGUAACGUUCAGAUGAGCACUAAAAGAACCCAUGGGAACAGGGGAUGGGAACCAUUCAAGGAACAAUCUGCAGGGCGGGCCUGGCUGUGGAUAAAGACAUGGUGUAAAGAAUUAAGGCUUACUGAAUUUUCAAGCUGGAGUGUCUGGGAGAACAACGGGGCUAUGAGUCAGGAUAGGGAGGACGGGGGCAGCUAACUUGGAUAGAGGAGGGAAGUAAAAAUAAUGAAUUCAGUCUGGUGCAUAGGAGAACAAAGGUAUUAUAUCCUUCAUGUGUUUUUGAGACAGGGUCUCUUGCUCUCCUGCCCAGGCUGGAAUGCAGUGAUGUGAUCAUGAUGUCACUGCAGCCUCGACCUCCCAGGCUCAAGUAAUCCUCCCGCCUCCACCUCCUGAGUAGCUGGCACCAUGAGCAUGUGCCAUCACACCCGGCUGAAUUUUUAUGUUUUGUAGAGACGGGGAUCCCACUAUGUUGCUGAGGCUAGUCUCAAAUUCCUGGGCUCAAGUGAUCCUCCCCGCCUCUAAAUCCUUCUGAGCAAGGGCAGUUUCAGUAAUGGAGAUAGAGAAACUGAUGCCAGACAUCCACAAAUGAAAACUGAGAACAGCUGGUAACAAAUGAAGGCAUUUUCCAGCCCCUGUCUUCUCAGUAUGUAUGAGAUCCACAUGCUAAGACAGUCAUGCUGGUGAUCAAAUUACUUUUUGAACAAGUGAUCAAAAGAGAAGAAGUCCUAAUGAAAUCCUAAUGAAUUGUAUCUCAGGCUACUUACCUCUGACAGUGCUUACUUUAUUAAGUCGGCUGUCAGGAAGCAGCAGGGCCUCUCACCAGU